rnacentral:tRNA from 1 species
GGGGCUGGCUGUGACACUGGUGUUCGCCACGGUCUUCAAAACCGCUUGGGAGGCGCGUGCCGUCUCCGCUAGGUUCGAUUCCUAGACAGUCCC